UACGUAGGGUGCGAGCGUUAAUCGGAAUUACUGGGCGUAAAGCGUGCGCAGGCGGUUUUGUAAGCCGGAUGUGAAAUCCCCGGGCUUAACCUGGGAAUGGCAUUUGGGACUGCAAGGCUGGAGUGUGGCAGAGGAGACUGGAAUUCCUGGUGUAGCAGUGAAAUGCGUAGAUAUCAGGAGGAAUACCGAUGGCGAAGGCAGGUCUCUGGGCUGACACUGACGCUCAUGCACGAAAGCGUGGGGAGC
rnacentral:rRNA from 1 species